rnacentral:lncRNA from 1 species
AAAAGUAAAUUUUGAGAAUUAAAUUUUUUUUUUCGGUUCUUGAAAACAUAAGAUAUUUGAGUAUAAAUUAGAACAACUGUAAAUUUAUGUUUAAAGUAAGAAUUUAAAUGCCGUGGCACGGGAUUAUGCCGGAAACUUGCCGGCACGGUACGGCACGGUCCGUGCCGAUCCGUCCUAAUAAAAAAAAAUUCUUAUUUACCGACACAUAAUAGCAUGAAAUAUUUAUUUUUUUUAGCAAUAAAAUAUUCUAACUAUUUAUUAUGUCUUUUUAUCACAUCUUUUGAAUUUUAUUGAGAUAAUUACUUAUUAGUUUAAUGAAUAGAGGGUUUUGAGCUGUGCCAUCAGCACGGGUAGAGACGUCAACGGGUCGGAUUCGGGGCGGGUUUUUAAAAAUCCGAACCCGAACCCGACUCCAAACCCGAGAUCCGAACCCGAACCCCAACCCGACGGAUUUCAAAAAUCCAUAUCCAAACCCGAACCUGACCAAAAAUCCGAAACCCGAACCCGAAUCCGAACCCGAAAAUUUGAACCCGAAAAAAAUAUUUCUUUUUUCAAUAUUUCAAAAUAUAUUAUAUUAAAUUUAAAUUUUUAAAAUACAAAUUUAAAUAUAACAUCAAAUUUAUAUAUAUAUAUAUAUAUAUAUAUAU